GGACUACCAGGGUAUCUAAUCCCGUUUGCUCCCCUAGCUUUCGCGCCUCAGCGUCAGAAGAGGUCCAGCAGCUCGCUUUCGCCACCGGCGUUCCUUCCAAUAUCAACGCAUUUCACCGCUCCACUGGAAGUUCCAGCUGCCCCUACCUCCCUCCAGCCGAUCAGUAUCCAAGGCACUUUUCCGGUUGAGCCGAAAGAUUUCACCCCGGACUUGAUCGACCGCCUACGCGCCCUUUAAGCCCAGUGAUUCCGAACAACGUUCGCACGGUUCGUCUUACCGCGGCGGCUGGCAC
rnacentral:rRNA from 3 species